rnacentral:rRNA from 1 species
UCCUGGCUCAGAUUGAACGCUGGCGGCAGGCCUAACACAUGCAAGUCGAACGGUAACAGGAAGCAGCUUGCUGCUUCGCUGACGAGUGGCGGACGGGUGAGUAAUGUCUGGGAAGCUGCCUGAUGGAGGGGGAUAACUACUGGAAACGGUAGCUAAUACCGCAUAAUGUCGCAAGACCAAAGAGGGGGACCUUCGGGCCUCUUGCCAUCGGAUGUGCCCAGAUGGGAUUAGCUUGUUGGUGGGGUAACGGCUCACCAAGGCGACGAUCCCUAGCUGGUCUGAGAGGAUGACCAGCCACACUGGAACUGAGACACGGUCCAGACUCCUACGGGAGGCAGCAGAAGGG